rnacentral:rRNA from 1 species
CGCGUAGGCGGACCCAUUAGUCUGGUGUGAAAGCCCGGGGCUCAACCCCGGAAGUGCACUGGAAACUGUGGGUCUUGAGUUCGGGAGAGGAAGGCAGAAUUCCCGGUGUAGGAGUGAAAUCCGUAGAGAUCGGGAGGAAAAUCAGUGGCGAAGGCGGCCUUCUGGAACGAAACUGACGCUGAGGCGCGAAAGCGUGGGGAGCAAACAGGAUUAGAUACCCUGGUAGUCC